rnacentral:rRNA from 1 species
AUUGAACGCUGGCGGAAUGCUUUACACAUGCAAGUCGAGCGGCAGCACGGGGGCAACCCUGGUGGCGAGCGGCGAACGGGUGAGUAACACAUCGGAACGUACCCUGUCGUGGGGGAUAACGAGUCGAAAGAUUCGCUAAUACCGCAUACGACCCGAGGGUGAAAGCGGGGGAUCGCAAGACCUCGCGCGACUGGAGCGGCCGAUGGCGGAUUAGCUAGUUGGUGGGGUAAAGGCCCACCAAGGCGACGAUCCGUAGCGGGUCUGAGAGGACGGCCCGCCACACUGGGACUGAGACACGGCCCAUACUCCUACGGGAGGCAGCAGUGGGGAAUUUUGUGCAAUGGGGGAAACCCUGACACAGCGACACCGCGUGAACGAAGAAGCCCUUUGGGGUGUAAACCUCUUUUAUCAGGGAAGAAACAAAUGACGGUACCUGAUGAAUAAGCUCCGGCUAACUUCGUG